rnacentral:lncRNA from 1 species
AUGAUGUUGAAAAGGACAAAUGUCUCAUCUUCCCUGUGUAUAGUUGAGCUUCAUUGUGCAGAAAAAGAAAAGAAGAGCCCCACAUGCCAAGAGUCUGUAGGAUCUAGAAUGCCUUCUUUACGAACUGUGAUGAGGACUGAAGGGCAUGGCAGGGAGGCGGACACGGGCUUGCUGGUGUUGGGAAGCCAAAGUGACUAUACCCAUGUGAUAGGUGAGUGAGUAGAGGUGGGGAGAUGGGGACAUGUGACCUCAUCAAGGUUGCAGAGCAGUAAAAGGGAGCCAGGCUCUCUUCAUCUCAGCCUGUUGCUGAUUCUCGGUCUCUGUGAGCUGAGGUUUUCUCAGGUUUGGUUCAGUAUUUUUCCCUUACCCUGGGGACUGCCGUUGUCACAUGUGGGGGUGGGGGUGAAGCCACUUCCCCUAAAGCACCAGAGGUAAGGCUUGCUGUUCAUCCCCACACAGGCUCCUGGCUCUGAAGCAAGAUCAACAGUCUCCAAACUUGAGCAGAAACCCUGCAUUUCCCCUCAGGUAAAGGGACUCGCAUUUAUUUAGCAGGUUGGCUAGGCAGGGGCAGGUGCUUCUCCCUGACUGUCCCCAGGCCCUGGUGUCUAGGAUCUUGCUCAUAUUCUAGAGCUCUUCACCAACAGGACAAAUGGCCUGAAGGGGUUGAAAAUGGGAAAGUCUAGGUACUGCCACUCUCUAAGAAAGAAACUGCUGUUUUUAGGAAGCUAGUAAGGUCUGUUUUGUUUGUUUGUUUAGUAAAAACAGCAUUUCCACUGUAACCCAUUGUCUAAUGGCUUUGGGCCAUUCCCUGACAACUUGCCUGGCUUUCCACAGUGCCUUAACUCAGGAAGAACUCCAUUGCCUGACAUUAGACGUAGUCUGCCCUAGGUCAAAUUCAGGAUGCUGUAGGAGAAGGAAAGUCCUGAUACCUGCAUAGGUAGAGAGAACUACCCGUGUCCUCCUGGCCUUUAGGUGGUGAAGAUCAGAGAGCACAAUUGAAUGGUGGGAUGGCUCUUGUGAGGCAAGAUUGGUACCAGCACUUUGUAAAUAUUGCUCCCUUAAUUCUCAAGAUGACUGUGUAGGUAUCAUUAAUUCAUAUUUACUGACUGGGAAACUGAGGGUCACAGAUGUGACCUUCAAUUUUUUUUUUAUUCAUAAGAUUUUCAUUCAUAAGACCCUCCUAAGAUUUUUCAUUCAUUCAUUCAUUCAUUCAUUCAUUCAUUCAUUCAUUCACUCACUCAACAAGUACUUACUGUCUUAGUGUGGAUUCCAUUGUGUGUGAUAUAUGGAUGAGUUGUUCUACAAGGUAUCUGGGAGGAGGUGAGAGAAACAGGAGGGGCAGGGAAAAGAUCUAAGCAAGGGUAGGGUUCCAGGCCUUCAUUAGAAUCCCUAAUUGAGGGACUUCUGUUAUUGUGAGACCUUCUAGGAUCCACAGCUGGUUUAAAUAAUGACACAGAGACUUCUAAUAUAGUUUAAAGCUUCGGCCUUUUGUGGGGCAGUCUCCCAGCUCCUGUUUAAACUUAGCCUGGCUCUUCUAGCCUAUGACCCACCACGUGGCUAGUUCUUUACCUCCUUGCUCUGGCUCCAGGCCACAUCUGUUCCCUUCCGUGUCUGCUUUCAAGUCCACUGCAUCUGCUUCCUCCUCUCUGUCACUUUCUCUGCCCGGAAGUUCCGCCCUUGUACUUCCUGCCUCAGCCAUUGGCCAUUCAAUCUUUAUCACAACCAAUCAGCAGCCAGACAACACCUGAUCCAUCUCUUAGAUUGCCUUUAGGCAGGCGAGGAAGGAUGAACACUUACAAAAUAGAAAACCUUGUGAUGGGCCAUAGAAACGACAAUACCAGAAUCUUGCUAGCAGUGGGUUCACUUCUGGGAUAUAAUUAACAAUUGACAAUACAGAGAUACACCUUAAAUAAAGUGAGGGAAGGUUGAUCCA